GCCCGCUCGGUGCGCGCAGAGGCUGCGUGGAGAGAGGGCAACCAGCAACUUGGUGCCACCCUAGAGAGCGCUGCCCGGGCCGCCUUCCUUCCUGCCCGCAGCCCUGGGAGGUACGUACUACUGGCCCCCUUUCAACGGCUGGGAAAACUGAGACCCAGAAAGGGGAAGGGACUUGCUCAGAGUCAUACUGUGAAUGUGGACGAGGACCAGCUCUCAACUCCAAGGUGCAGCCACCCACGUCUUAACCAGAGCAGGAAGGCGUCAGUAACCUCGGUGGCCCAACCUCAGAACCUGACUCUGCUGUCAAGGGGGAAGAUAAUCCCAAACCCCGACAAGUAGCUGGAGAAUCAUAACUGACCUCCAACCAAGUGUGACUUUGGGCAAAGCGCUAACACUCUGAGCCUCAGUUUCAACGUCUAUUAAAUGGGGAUAAUUGUAGUUCCGCCUUUUAGGGAAUCCCUGAGAGGAUGAACCUCAGAAGGCAUUUAGCAGAAAGCCUGGCUGAUUUUGCCAUGCCUCCUUAUUAAAUGGGAUGCGCUAUAAUGGAUGGGGAAAACGUGUCAUUUUUGUGUAUGUUUACUCUCCCUCCCCAGGAAAGCCUGCCUGGAGCGUUAGCAGCUGUGAACCCCUAGAUUAGAGCCCUUAUCGCCUACCCACCCGCCCUGCAUGGUAAUGAGCCUCUGCAGGUGUCAG
rnacentral:lncRNA from 10 species